AAGAGAGACAAUGUGAUAGAUCCUAUCUACAAAUAACUAUUUGGAAGGCAGAAGUUUGGAGAGACAUUAACUCUUUCAGACAGUAAAAGAAAAGGGAUGUAACAGGUGAAACAAGACUGACCAUGUUUUAAUAAGCUGGCUAAUAGAUUCGGGUGUACAUGUGCAGGUCUGUUACCUGGGAAUACUGCGUGAUACUGAACUUUGGGGUACAAGUGAUCCUGUCACCCAGGUACUGAGCACAGUACCCAACAGGUUAACAGAAGAAAAAAGAAGCAUAGUUUAUCUCCAAGGAGAACGGGCAGUUUGCUUCUUCAGCUAGAAUAUAUUCCCAGUGUCCUCGGGCUUUGCAGCAGAAUCACAUCACCGAGCAUGAAGACUUGCCUUGUGAAGCUGCCCCGUCCAUUUUUUCUGCCUCCAAAAUCAUCCUUCGAAAAACAUCAACAGCAGUCUGAUUUUCUUUAGCAGAAGAUUCCAAAAAAGCUGCAUUCCAAGAUUCUGCCAAAGCUUUCCCUUCUUCAUAACUGAUCACCCUUUCCAUAUGCAGGUCUUUCUUAUUUCCAACCAACAUAAUAGGAGUCCACAAAUUGGCCUUCAACAAAUUGAAUCGUCAAUGAGGAUUUCCCCACAGACCGGUAGCCCAGGAUCGCGAUCUUCCGGGACUUUGACUGCGGCAUCUUGGCGGCCUCCUCAGCCCCGGCCCAACCACAUCAACCGCGGCGGCGGCGGCUCCUGCUGCUGUGAUCGGCGGCGGCCGCGCCGGGAGAGAGCGGCAUACAGAGCAGGGGCGGCGGCGGGCGCGGCUGCCUCUCGCUCGCUAGCUCGUGCGCUCCCAACCGCCCGGAACCGACCGCGCGGCGGCGCCCCUCCCCCCCACAACACGCCCACGUGACCGGCCGGCGUCAGCACCGCCCCUCUUCGCGCCGUGGCCCGCCGCCUCCGCCCCCCGAAAUACGCGGGGGGUGCGUCGGGGCGACGUUUUACUUUAAAGGCAAAAAAAGGGGACGCCGCGAUGCCCCCAGAAAAGUCACGACUGAAACUCGCUGCGUCAUGACCCGGUUUACUCUUUCAGAAGAAAAACAACUGCAAUAUUCUCAAAAUGUCCACUGGUAGCCAUUUCCCUACAUCAAUAAAAAAACUUUAGAAUAUACUUUAUUUAGCUACUAACCUGUAAAAAAUAAAGCACCAUAAAUUCCUGUGUAUGUGUAAAAACAAAGAUUGUGAAGUAACUUCUAAAGAUUAUCUAAUUAGUUCAAGAUUUUUCACAUCAUUCUACAAAAACCUGAAACUCUCUAGGGGAUUCAUAGAAUAUUCUCCAUCCAGAAUUUUGUCAUAAGAGUUUUAUGAAAUUACUGAACUAUUACUUGAAUCUAGAUCAUCCUUAAAACCAGAGAUAUCUACAUUUCCCAAAUCUCUUGCAAAGCAUUUGCAUACCAUGUUAUUUUCAUUAUUUCAAAACAUUCCUUCCCCUUCUAUUCUAUCAACAUCUACAAGAUAUGCUGAAUUUUACUUAGAAGCCAUUUAGCUAUCAUUCAUACACACACACUUUCCAAAAUGUAACACCUUCAAAUAUACAUAAUAAAAGACUAAACUUGUAUCUUUUACAGAAAUCUCAAAAUUAAAAUUUAACUGACUUCAACUGGGCAAAACCACACCAUCUCAGUUACUAUAGGUUCAUACUAAGUCUUGAUAGCUGAUAGGGUAAAUUAUUCUUCCCUGCUUUUCUUCUUAAAAUGCCCUGCUGUUUUCAACCACUUACUCUUCUACAUAAAUAUCAUACAAUCUUAUCAAAUUACAUGAAAAUCUUAUUGGUCUUUAACUCAUUGCCUCAAGAGAUCCUCCUACCUUGGCCUCCCAAAGUGCUGGCAUUACAGGCAUGAGCCACUGCGCCCUUGAAAUCUUACGAGGAUUUUUAUUGAACAUGCGCUGAAUUUACAAAUCAACUUGAAAAGAACUGAAAUCUUCACAAUGUUAAAUCUUCCAAUUAAUGAAUAAAGUAUAUGUUUAUUUCA
rnacentral:lncRNA from 1 species